CGACGCUGCGUGAAGGAUGACGGCCUGCGGGUUGUAAACUUCUUUUCUCGAAGAAGAAUAAAUGACGGUAUUCGAGGAAUAAGCAUCGGCUAACUCUGUGCCAGCAGCCGCGGUAAGACAGAGGAUGCAAGUGUUAUUCGGAUUGAUUGGGCGUAAAGCGUCUGUAGGCGGUUUGGAAAGUCUUUUGUGAAAUUCUUCAGCUCAACUGGGGGUCCGCAAAAGAAACUUCUAGGCUUGAGGGAAGUAGAGGUACAGGGAAUUUCCGGUGGAGCGGUGAAAUGCGUAGAUAUCGGAAGGAACACCAAUAUGGCGAAGGCACUGUACUGGGCUUUACCUGACGCUAAGAGACGAAAGCUAAAGGAGUGAUUAGGAUUAGAUACCCUAGUAAUUUUAGCCGUAAACGAUGGAAACUCACUGCCGAGCCGGUAUUCGGAGCGGUGGUCAAGCUAACGCGUGAAGUUUCCCGCCUGGGGACUACGCAUGCAAAUGUGAAACUCAAAGGAAUUGACGGGGACCCGCACAAGCGGUGGAGUAUGUGGUUUAAUUCGAUGCAACGCGAAAAACCUUACCAAGGUUUGAAAUCAUUUCAAAACUCUUUGAAAGAAGAGCCUCCUUCGGGAUGGAAUGACAGGUGGUGCAUGGCUGUCGUCAGCUCGUGUUGUGAAAUGUCAAGUUAAGUCUUGUAACGAGCGCAACCCAUGUCUUUUGUUGCUGUUUACAGUGCUUAAAAGAGACUGCCGCUCUACAGCGGANGAAGGUGUGGAUGAUGUCAAGUCAGCAUGCCCCUUAUAUCUUGGGCUACACACGUACUACAAUGGUAGGGACAA
rnacentral:rRNA from 1 species